rnacentral:rRNA from 1 species
AAUCAACGCUGGCGGCGUGCCUCAGACAUGCAAGUCGAACGAUUAAGACUUCCUUCGGGAAGUGAAUAGAGUGGCGCACGGGUGAGUAACACGUAAGUAAUCUACCUUCGAGUGGGGAAUAACGUCCGGAAACGGACGCUAAUACCGCAUAAUGCAGCGGCACCUAAUGGUGACAGUUGUUAAAGAUUUAUUCGCUUGAAGAGGAGCUUGCGGCAGAUUAGCUAGUUGGUAAGGAACGGCUUACCAAGGCAACGAUCUGUAACCGGUCUAAGAGGACGGUCGGUCACACUGACACUGAAUAACGGGUCAGACUCCUACGGGAGGCAGCAGUGGGGAAUCUUGCGCAAUGCGCGAAAGCGUGACGCAGCAACGCCGCGU